rnacentral:rRNA from 1 species
GUGAGGAAUUUUCCGCAAUGGGCGAAAGCCUGACGGAGCAAUGCCGCGUGAAGGAUGAAGGCCUAUGGGUUGUAAACUUCUUUUCUCAGAAAAGAAUUAUGACGGUAUCUGAGGAAUAAGCAUCGGCUAACUCUGUGCCAGCAGCCGCGGUAAGACAGAGGAUGCAAGUGUUAUCCGGAAUGAUUGGGCGUAAAGCGUCUGUAGGUUGUUUAAAAAGUAUUCUGUCAAAGAUUAGGGCUUAACCCUAGAUAGGCAGAAUAAACUUUUAAGCUAGAGUUUGGUAGAGGCAGAGGGAAUUCCCGGUGGAGCGGUGAAAUGCGUAGAUAUCGGGAGGAACACCAAAGGCGAAGGCACUCUGCUGGGCCAAUACUAACACUGAGAGACGAAAGCGAGGGGAGCAAAUGGGAUUAGAUACCCGUGUAGUCC